rnacentral:misc_RNA from 1 species
GAUGAAGAACGCAGCGAAAUGCGAUAAGUAAUGUGAAUUGCAGAAUUCAGUGAAUCAUCGAAUCUUUGAACGCACAUUGCACCCGCCAGUAUUCUGGCGGGCAUGCCUGUUCGAGCGUCAUUUCAACCAUCAAGCCCUGCUUGCGUUGGGGUCCUGCGGCUGCCCGCAGGCCCUGAAAACCAGUGGCGGGCUCGCUAGUCACACCGAGCGCAGUAAUACAUCUCGCUUUGGGCGUGCGGCGGGUUCUUGCCGUUAAACACCCCCUUUUUACCAAGGUUGACCUCGGAUCAGGUAGGAAUACCCGCUGAACUUAAGCAUAUCAAUAAGCGGAGGA